rnacentral:lncRNA from 1 species
GUAAUACAAACUCAGUAUAAGAUAAUGCAAACGGCCGCUCUUCUAAAAGCUAGAGAUGACACUGUCAGCAUCAAGAAACAACUGAGAAACUUUAGCUCAGGUGUUGCGAGUCAUGCCCCUGAGAAUGAUGGCCUUCCAGAGGGCACUUGCAAUGUUUCUGCAGCUCCAGGUACUUCUCCAUGUUGAAACCAUGCUUCACGCAAAGCUUUCUCCUCCUCGACUCAAACAUCCUCUCCAUGAAGUCUUGAUACGUCGGGUCCCUGAUGACGAAGUAGGCAUAGCCAACCAGCAGCCCCGAGGUGGUCGGGAAAAUAGAUACUACCACCUAGUGGUAGUUACCACCACCCUUACUGCCGUCGGAUGCCAUCCAUGUGUGGAAGCUGAUUAACGGGUCACGGUUUUGGAAGUAGCUAGAUUUUCUCAACCCGAUUAAAUAUCCAGCCGCACCCUCCCGAUUUAUAUGGCUAGUUUUAUCAUAGUAUAUAACUACCUCGAGUCAAAGCAAAUGAGGCUAGCCUUUAAAAUAUAUCCGUCGGCUUCGCGGCCGCCGCUGGCGUCAUGUUUCACGGGAGGUAAGCAUGUGGAGUUAUUACGGUGAUCCAUCCCAAAACACAUAUGUUAAUCUUUGCUUCAUCUUUUUUUUGUGGGGUAAUCUUUGCUCCAUCUUGCUCUAUUUCUCUAGAUUUAGCAUAUGUACGUGUGACCUAUGGAUGCCAAGACCGGUGCUCAUGCUUCAGAUCAGGACUACACAAUCAGAAAAAAAAGAGGCCCAUCUGCAACGGAUAUUUUGUCUUUCGUGAUCCAUAUGCUUGGAAAAUGUGAAUAAUUCAUCUUUUAUCUUUAAUUCCAGGUUGGGGACAAGAUAUAUACACAUGCACGGCCUUCAUGCGAGUUUUAUCCCUGAAGUGAGAUAGACGGCAUCAUGCGUACAUACACCGGCCCUAUCAUCGACGACAACAUGGCGUUGAUAUCCGUGGCCGGGCGCAUUCUUGCUUUCCGGGACAUUACUCGUCUGCUGUUGUUGUCGGGCUACCAAAUGCUAAUACUAAUUCUUUUAUAUUUUGUUGGAUACUUUUCAACAUUUCAAAGUACGUCGCCAUCGGAUCUGUGGCCGUGGCGACGCCGACGACAUCCACCAACUAUGUUGGCUCCGCACUUGCACCACGUACUGUUCAGUACUGCUCCGGCACUUCUGACAUACCUGAUGAUGGUGAGAAGUGGAGACACAUGGUAGAGGGACGUGAUUGCUCCAGCAUGGCGGCGGCGGCUGCACCAACGUAUACGUCCGAUCACAGAUUAAGAGUUGCUAAACAAAGUUCAGGGAUGAUAAGAUGGGCACAUGACCGGAAGGAAACAACAGAAUAAAUUGUAUAUGAUCAUUCGAUGUCACGUAGAGGUCGAUGGAAUCAUGGAUGAACUACUUAUAUUAUCUGUGUAGUACAUCAAUGUGUAUAUGUUGGCUCCGUAUCUUUAAUUUGUUGUAGCAAGAGAUAAUACUACAUACUAUAUUUCUUGUAGCAAGAGAUAAUACUACAUACUUUUUUUCGCGAGAUAAUACUACAUACUACCUUUUAAUUAUUAUACUCCAUACUACUUUUCUUACAUAUAGUCUCUUUUUGUAAUCUACAUAUUCCCUUUCUCUAAUAAUACAUACUAUAUGCGUGCAUGUGAGAGUGCCUCGGAAAUUCCACGGAAUGCACGCUAACAUACUACUAUUACGUAUACAUACGCUCUCUUUUUAAUUCCAUUGAUAUACUCAAUCCUUGUCUUAAUACUGUAAACCUCAAUUAAACAUCAUACUCUGUACUCCAAUUUAAGAGCGUACAUACUCUAUACACCAUGCCUCCAACAACUGUAAGGCAUACAUCAUACUUUUCAUAAUCUAUAUGACUAUGGAGUAUAUAUAUUCUACUUUUUCUGAAGUAUAUAGUAUGUAUAACAUAGCUCGACGAAUAUACUGUAUAUAGAGUAUAUAUGGAGUAUAUAUAUUCUACUUUUUCUGAAGUAUAUAGUAUGUACCUAUAAUAUAGCUGGACAAGUAUACUAUAGUGUAUGGAGUAUGUAUAUUGAGACUAUCCAGCGGGGGUAGAAUAUGUAUGGAACAGAUAUACCAUAAAGGAACAAGAGGAUGUUUUUAAUAUUAGUUGGUGCAGUACGUAAGUCACGCUAACUAACCCUUAUCCGGUGUUUAAAAAAGCAGCUAGCACUUAUCCACGCAGUGAUAUGCGGUGCAUGCGGUCGGGCUACUAGCGUGUUGUUCAACUAACUACUGAGAGUGAAAUGUUAAUGGAUCACUAUUCAUCCACUAACCCGUUUGCACAUCGGUGUAGAAGGACACAUGGCACAUAGAUAAUUAGGAGGUAACUACCACUGCUUGUAGAUAAAAUUUGUCGUAUAUCACUUUGGUAAUACAAACUCAGUAUAAGAUAAUGCAAACGGCCGCUCUUCUAAAAGCUAGAGAUGACACUGUCAGCAUCAAGAAACAACUGAGAAACUUUAGCUCAGGUGUUGCGAGUCAUGCCCCUGAGAAUGAUGGCCUUCCAGAGGGCACUUGCAAUGUUUCUGCAGCUCCAGGUACUUCUCCAUGUUGAAACCAUGCUUCACGCAAAGCUUUCUCCUCCUCGACUCAAACAUCCUCUCCAUGAAGUCUUGAUACGUCGGGUCCCUUGAGGUGAUGACGAAGUAGGCAUAGCCAACCAGCAGCCCCGAGGUGGUCGUGAAGAAGGCAAUCGGCUCCAUCACGUCCCAUGAGAAC